CACCUGCGCUGCAUCUUCCUCAUUAGCCUUCCCCUCCCUCCAGUGUUUUCCAGCUUUUCUAGCCUGUCAGCCCCUUUGUUGGUCCGUCUGUUCAGUUCUCAUCCUCACAUAACCCCUGUUAUCCUGUGUCUUUUCGGUCCUCAUGUGCUCCGGUAUCAUCAAACCUCGCUUCCUGUGUUGAAUCUAUCUGCAUGUGAUGGUACGGACCGACCACAAGUGAGCCUGAGCUCCCUGGUGUAAACUUCCAUCGUGUUAUCCGACUACCGCCUGAUCCAGUUCCUGCCUUCAGCCCACUCCUUGUCGGGUUUGUUUGCCAGGCUUCGCACGACCGAUGCGUUGCAGUACCAGAGAGUUUCGGUCAGAAUUACGUGUGAUGUCUUUCUUCUGAUUUUUUCACCUCUGGCUAGCCUUAGGAAGGCUUUGCUGUUCAAUUUCAACAUGCAUUUUUUAUUCAGCAUGAUGGUAGCAGGAAACUCUUGCCGAGGCCAGAGAGAAAAAGAAAGACCGAAUUUGGUCAACAUUUCUCCAAAGUCAAAAAAAGAUUUUACAGAGACGGAAAAGAGUGCACGUCAGUCCAGAAGACUGUUAUUUACACAACAUCCACCUCGCUGCAUCCCAGGAUAUCUCUCUCUCUCUGUCUCUCCAAGCUGCCCUUCUCAUCCCCGCCUCAGCUAUCGGGCCCCAUACAUCAGCCCGCUGCAGGUUUGGACAGGACUGCUGAUCACGGGGGCAGAAAUCUAUCUGGGACAACGGACUCACCGGCAGUCUGCAGCGUUUAAGGUGUGGCUGAAUAGAAACAGAGAGGUGAAAGAGAGAGGAGAAGGAAGAGGGAGGGGUUGAAUGCACACACAAGGAAUGGAAAUGUUGUCAGACUUUGCCAAGGGAGGAGCUGCAUCCAAGGAUUGUAAGUUUUUUUUUUUUUACUGGAAAGCACCAUUUGCCCAGGAGUUGUCAGGCCGCACUCGAACGCCUCAGGAUCUCAAUCUGCAGUCUGUUUUGUAAUUAUUUUUCUUGUGAAGUUAUUCGGUAAGGAAAUAAAUCCAACUCUUAUCUAACGGCCGUGCCUGCGAGCUCCCACUAACUGCUGAAUCAUCACCGAGCGCUGAUGAGAUUAGCACUAAGCCCCCAUGUUCAGUCAAGCACCGACAAGUCAUCUGCACCUCGGGGACAGCGGAGGUAAGCGGUGUUAAUAACAAACGCACAGAACGUCGCGCGCUGACUGUCAAGCAUCAGCUGUUUAGACCCCUAAUCCCUCGACAUUAGGAAUAAACUACGUCCUCAGCAGGAGCAUUUCAGGUAGUCAUGCCUCGACAUGGCUGGAAGGGACGAACAAUGGGAAAUAUGGAUGAGGCUAAUGGGAUGCAGUGGGGAUGUAGAAAAAAGGUAGGAACAUUUGAAGAGGAAGAAGUUGCUGAAAGAUGUUUCAGUUCCGAUUUUAACGAGGCACUUGUGGUAAAUCUUCAGAUUUCAGUUUGUUUUGCCUUAAUACCAGGGGUGGACUCAGGAUGUUUGAGGGGCAGGGGCAAAAAAAAAAUAAAUCUAGAGAGGGGCACCAGUGUGCAGCACAUCAUGAUAUAUUUAUAGUAAAGAGAGGGCACUUCACCACACUACAGGACACUUACCCUCAUGUUUGAUGUUUUGCUUUUCAUUUCCUCCCUUUGUUUCGUUUCCACUCAUCUGAGCAUCGUAGCUGCUAAUUAGAGGGGCUUUUGGUUGUUACUUUGUUUUCGCUUUUGUGUUUUCUGCUUUGUAUUUUGUCUGCUUUUUUG